rnacentral:rRNA from 1 species
CCCGCUGAACUUAAGCAUAUCAAUAAGCGGAGGAAAAGAAACCAACAGGGAUUGCCCUAGUAACGGCGAGUGAAGCGGCAACAGCUCAAAUUUGAAAUCUGGCUCUUUUAGAGUCCGAGUUGUAAUUUGCAGAGGGCGCUUUGGCGUUAGCAGCGGUCCAAGUUCCUUGGAACAGGUCGUCACAGAGGGUGAGAAUCCCGUACGUGGUCGCUAGUUUUCGCCGUGUAAAGCCCCUUCGACGAGUCGAGUUGCUUGGGAAUGCAGCUCUAAAUGGGAGGUAAAUUUCUUCUAAAGCUAAAUACUGGCCAGAGACCGAUAGCGCACAAGUAGAGUGAUCGAAAGAUGAAAAGCACUUUGGAAAGAGAGUCAAAUAGCACGUGAAAUUGUUGAAAGGGAAGCGCUUGCAGCCAGACUUGCCUGCAGUUGCUCAUCCGGGCUUUUGCCCGGUGCAUUCUUCUGUAGGCAGGCCAGCAUCAGUUUGGGCGGUUGGAUAAAGGUCUCUGUCACGUACCUCCUUUCGGGGAGGCCUUAUAGGGGAGGCGACAUGCAACCAGCCUGGACUGAGGUCCGCGCAUCUGCUAGGAUGCUGGCGUAAUGGCUGUAAGCGGCCCGUCUUGAAACACGG